AGCAUCUACUAUAUACAAAGCAUUGGUGGACACUGGGGAUAAAAAGGCAAACAUGAAACUAUCUUUACUCUUCAAGAGUUUACUCUCGAAUGGGUGGAUAGAAUAUGUCUAAAAAUUAGUUAAAUAUAACAUAGAUACAAAGUGAUUUCAAAAAAGAUAUAGAGCUGACCACAAGAGGGAUUAAUAAUAUCUUCAUGUGGGAGUUUCUUAUGAGGCAGAGAUGAUGAUGGAGUGCAUUCUAUUGCAGCCAUGGGGAAUGGCCAGUUCAAAUGCAAAUAGGAGGAGUGCUGGGUGAGAGACCAAGAGAAGACUAAUUUUCAUCAUACAGGUAACCUGGUCCUGCUGCUCCUCACGUACAAUUCUCCAAUCUCAUCUCAAUGUACAUCCCAGGGCAAGUUGGCAAAUCUUCUACAGUUUAUAUACUAUAACUAUUUUGAAGUAGAAUAAGGGGGAAAGGCUACACCCACACCUCCAUGGUAGAGAGAAGAAUAUAAUAUCAUUCGGUGAGUUAUUAAAUGGAUUUGCUCCUGAAACCUGUUUUCAACAUGUAAAUAUCUUGCUUUCUCCCCCUUCAUUUUAAAAUCACUUUGUAGUUCACACUUUCAGACGUAGCAGGUUGUAUGCCUCCAAGUUCUUAAUAAACUUUAAAAAGUUUCCCA
rnacentral:lncRNA from 1 species